rnacentral:lncRNA from 1 species
AAAAAAGAAAGAGAAAAGAAAAGGAAAAAGUUAGCAACAAAAACAAACAACUUUCUUUUGAACUACAUUCGACCUGAUUCCUUUUAAGGAUACGUAGGCACCUUAUGAUUUGGUCCCAGCACAAUAAAAAUUAAAAUUCCGCAAACCCAAAGCAACUGGGGUAGAAGUUUUGGUUUUGAAAAGAUCUAAUUCCAAGAGUUUUAAUUUUGACCCCUUUACAUCUUAAAUUAUUUUGAGCCUUCAUGCGACCCUUUCUUUCUAACCCCAUCCAAAAGCCUAUAUUACGGUCCAAAGAAAGACCUUUCGAUCAAUAUUUGAGGGGUCAAGAGAGAUAAAGGUAUGAUUUACAUCAUGGGUAACACUUUGUUCAUGGGUGCAAGAGAGAAAAUUUAAAACAAGAGAGUCUUAUUGGUGAAAAAAUCCUCGCGGGCACCGUAAGGCAAUGGUGAGCUGAGAGAAAAUUUAAAAUGAGAGAGUCUUAUUGGUGAAAAUCCUCAUGGGCGUCGUAAGGCGAUGGUGAGUUGGGAGAUGAACAAAUGAGAGAGGCUUAUUGGUAAAAACUCUUCAGGGCACUGCAAGUCGAAUCCUCACAGGCAACAUAAGGUGAUGGUGAGCUGAGAGAUAAACAAAUAAGAGGGGGUUGUCGCUGAAAACCCUUUUAGGGCACAACAAGUCGAAUGAGGCUCAUAACUUUACAGACAAAAUGGAUCGGUG